rnacentral:tRNA from 1 species
GGGGUUUUGGCGUUCUCUUAUCUUCCAUUUGGUUCUGCUGAAAUCCCUCAAGUUCUGAUUCUCGCACAGCACUCGAAAUGCAGUUGUCCUUUACAGGGCACGUGGGUUCGAAUCCCACACUCUCCGCCA